rnacentral:rRNA from 1 species
AUAAUGGGUCAGCGACUUAUAUUCUGUAGCAAGGUUAACCGAAUAGGGGAGCCGAAGGGAAACCGAGUCUUAACUGGGCGUUAAGUUGCAGGGUAUAGACCCGAAACCCGGUGAUCUAGCCAUGGGCAGGUUGAAGGUUGGGUAACACUAACUGGAGGACCGAACCGACUAAUGUUGAAAAAUUAGCGGAUGACUUGUGGCUGGGGGUGAAAGGCCAAUCAAACCGGGAGAUAGCUGGUUCUCCCCGAAAGCUAUUUAGGUAGCGCCUCGUGAAUUCAUCUCCGGGGGUAGAGCACUGUUUCGGCAAGGGGGUCAUCCCGACUUACCAACCCGAUGCAAACUGCGAAUACCGGAGAAUGUUAUCACGGGAGACACACGGCGGGUGCUAACGUCCGUCGUGAAGAGGGAAACAACCCAGACCGCCAGCUAAGGUCCCAAAGUCAUGGUUAAGUGGGAAACGAUGUGGGAAGGCCCAGACAGCCAGGAUGUUGGCUUAGAAGCAGCCAUCAUUUAAAGAAAGCGUAAUAGCUCACUGGUCGAGUCGGCCUGCGCGGAAGAUGUAACGGGGCUAAACCAUGCACCGAAGCUGCGGCAGCGACACUGUGUGUUGUUGGGUAGGGGAGCGUUCUGUAAGCCUGCGAAGGUGUGCUGUGAGG